AUUGAACGCUGGCGGCAGGCUUAACACAUGCAAGUCGAGCGGGGGAAGGUAGCUUGCUACCGGACCUAGCGGCGGACGGGUGAGUAAUGCUUAGGAAUCUGCCUAUUAGUGGGGGACAACAUCUCGAAAGGGAUGCCAAUCCCGCAUACGUCCUACGGGAGAAAACAGGGGAUCUUCGGACCUCGCGCUAAUAGAUGAGCCUAAGUCGGAGUAGCUAGUUGGUGGGGUAAAGGCCUACCAAGGCGACGAUCUGUAGCGGGUCUGAGAGGAUGAUCCGCCACACUGGGACUGAGACACGGCCCAGACUCCUACGGGAGGCAGCAGUGGGGAAUAUUGGACAAUGGGGGGAACCCUGAUCCAGCCAUGCCGCGUGUGCGAAGAAGGCCUUAUGGUUGUAAAGCACUUUAAGCGAGGAGGAGGCUACUCUAGUUAAUACCUAGGGAUAGUGGACGUUACUCGCAGAAUAAGCACCGGCUAACUCUGUGCCAGCCGCCGCCGUAA
rnacentral:rRNA from 1 species